rnacentral:rRNA from 2 species
CUGGCUGUGUGCCUAAUACAUGCAUGUCGAGCGGAGUAUUAAUUUAUUAGUGCUUAGCGGCAAAUGGGUGAGUAACACGUAUUUAACCUACCUCAAAGACUGGGAUAACAACAGGAAACUGUUGCUAAUACCGGAUAUGUAUUUAGAUCGCAUGAUUUAGAUAUCAAAGGAGCGUUUGCUUCACUUUGAAAUGGGAGUGCGUUACAUUAGCUAGUUGGUAGGGUAAUGGCCUACCAAGGCGAUGAUGUAUAGCUGAGUUGAGAGACUGAACAGCCACACUGGGACUGAGAUACGGCCCAGACUCCUACGGGAGGCAGCAGUAGGGAAUUUUCCACAAUGGACGAAAGUCUGAUGGAGUGACACAGCGUGCAGGAUGAAGGUCUUCGGAUUGUAAACUGCUGUUAUAAGGGAAGAAAAGCUUAGGGAGGAAAUGCCCUAAGUAUGACGGUACCUUGUCAGAAAGCACCGGCUAACUAUGUGCCAGCAGCCGCGGUAAUACAUAGGGUGCAAGCGUUAUCCGAAAUUAUUGGGUGUAAAGAGUUCGUAGGUUGUUUGUUAAGUCAGAAGUUAAAUCCCGGGGCUCAACCCUGGCCCGCUUUUGAUACUAGCAAACUAGAGUUAUAAAGAGGUUAGUGGAAUUCCUAGUGAAGCGGUGAAAUGUGUAGAUAUUAGGAAGAACAUCAAUGGCGAAGGCAGCUAACUGGUUAUGUACUGACACUGAGGAACGAAAGCGUGGGGAGCAAACAGGAUUAGAUACCCUGGUAGUCCACGCCGUAAACGAUGAUCAUUAGCUGGUGGAAUUUUUCACUAGCGCAGCUAACGCAUUAAAUGAUCCACCUGAGUAGUAUGCUCGCAAGAGUGAAACUUAAAGGAAUUGACGGGGACCCGCACAAGCGGUGGAGCAUGUGGUUUAAUUUGACGAUACGCGUAGAACCUUACCCACUCUUGACAUCCUUCGCAAAGCUAUAGAGAUAUAGUGGAGGUUAACGGAGUGACAGAUGGUGCAUGGUUGUCGUCAGCUCGUGUCGUGAGAUGUUCGGUUAAGUCCUGCAACGAGCGCAACCCCUAUCUUUAAUUACUACAUUAAGUUGAGGACUUUAAAGAUACUGACCAAGCAAUUGGUAGGAAGGUGGGGAUGACGUCAAAUCAUCAUGCCUCUUACGAGUGGGGCAACACACGUGCUACAAUGGCCGGUACAAAGAGAAGCAAGAUGGUGACAUGGAGCAAAUCUCAAAAAACCGGUCUCAGUUCGGAUUGAAGUCUGCAACUCGACUUCAUGAAGUUGGAAUCGCUAGUAAUCGUAGAUCAGCUACGCUACGGUGAAUACGUUCUCGGGUCUUGUACACACCGCCCGUCACACCAUGGGAGCUGGUAAUGCCCAAAGUCGGUUUAGCUAACCUCGGAGGCGACUGUCUAAGGCAGGACUGGUGACUGGGGUGAAGUCGUAACAAGGUAUCCCUACGAGAAC